rnacentral:lncRNA from 1 species
AGCGGAUGAAUGGACUGAUGUGAAACUGAAUGUGCAGCGGAUGAAGUUUAGUGUGAAUAGGUGAAAUGGUUGGAAGUGCUUUUGGUGGCAUGGAUCUAGCUCAGAAGGCCUUCACCAUUGGAAGGAAGCUAGAGGAUAAGGUGGAAGAAGCACAAGAAUUUGACUCUCGGUGGAGAGAAGACGCUGGAAAUGCUUCAGCAUAUCUAUUCUCUCAAAUAUCCAAAAGUGUUUGUACAUGGAGGGCUGCCAUGAAUUUAUAAGAGAUUCAUGGAUCAGCUACGUGGCAUAGGUGCACCAAAAAUAGUGGAUCUAAGGCCACGUGCAAAUAAGCAAAAUUUGGCAGUGUGUGUUUCUAGAACAGGCACGUAAUACAUGUGCUAAAAAAUGAAGUCUACAUGUGCUUUUAUGAUGCACCCCCUUUUAUUACUAAUCUCACACCCCUCCCUUUGUGGAAAUGAUUCUUCUACCCUUCUCCUUGGGUUGGGUUGUUGGACUUUAUUUGGUGGGCUUGUGCCCCGCGUAUCAUCNN